UACGUAGGGUGCAAGCGUUAAUCGGAAUUACUGGGCGUAAAGCGUGCGCAGGCGGUUGUGCAAGACAGAUGUGAAAUCCCCGGGCUUAACCUGGGAACUGCAUUUGUGACUGCACGGCUAGAGUGUGUCAGAGGGGGGUAGAAUUCCACGUGUAGCAGUGAAAUGCGUAGAGAUGUGGAGGAAUACCGAUGGCGAAGGCAGCCCCCUGGGAUAAUACUGACGCUCAUGCACGAAAGCGUGGGGAGCAAACAGG
rnacentral:rRNA from 1 species